rnacentral:rRNA from 1 species
CCUAAGGGGGGCAGCAGUGGGGGAUAUUGCACAAUGGGGGAAACCCUGAUGCAGCGACGCCGCGUGGGUGAAGGAGCGUUUCGGCGCGUAAAGCCCUAUCGGCAGGGAAGAAGGAGGACGGUACCUGACUAAGAAGCCCCGGCUAACUACGUGCCAGCAGCCGCGGUAAUACGUAGGGGGCAAGCGUUAGCCGGAUUUACUGGGUGUAAAGGGGGCGCAGACGGCAGCGCAAGCCAGGAGUGAAAGCCCGGGGCCCAACCCCGGGACUGCGCUUGGAACUGCGCGGCUGGAGUGCAGGAGGGGCAGGCGGAAUUCCUGGUGUAGCGGUGAAAUGCGUAGAUAUCAGGAGGAACACCGGUGGCGAAGGCGGCCUGCUGGACUGCCACUGACAUUGAUGCUCGAAAGUGUGGGUAUCAAACAGGAUUAGAUACCCCAGUAGUC